UUCUCAGGUACAGAAAGCCACAGCCAGGAAGAUGCUCCCAAUAGAAGAGUGCAAACAUCUCUGCGGUGGCCAAUAUGGAUGACAGUUUUUGUGAGCACAUACCAAUAUGUGUAUAUAAUAGGUUCUGCAAUAGGGGUACCAAGACCAAGGAUAUAUACGAUUUAAAACAUGAUAGUUCUUGGCAAGUUGUCUCCCACCAAGAAAAGCAGACCUGUUAAUGCUGUCACUGUGCAGAAGGGCAUCAAUGGAUUCAACGUUAUCAUGUCCAUUCCAGGUGGGCUCCUGGACCACAUGCAGAAUGCUCAGGGGUUUAUGUAUAAGGCUCUUACAGAGUUAUUGAUGAUGCCCAUCAUAUCUUGGAUGCCAAGUUUGAAGAAAAAUUAAAGCAAUUUAUUGAACCUUUUCCAGUAUGCAGGUGAAUCACGUUAUUUUCUGCCACAUGAACUCAAAAAGUUGCUUUGGUAAGGAUUUCUCUGAAAAAGAAGCUGUUGUUCACGGAUGUUGAUGACUAUGAGGAGGUUGCC
rnacentral:lncRNA from 1 species